UUUCUCUUCUUCACUGUUAGAGAAAAUCAUAGCUAGGGUUGUCUCGCUCGACUCUUCUUCCUUCUGUUGCGCUGCUUCAGUUCGAAAAACAGAGAGCUAGGGUUGCACCGCUCCUUCUACAGGUAAUUUCUUCUUCUUCUUCAGAGAUAGUUUUUCUUUUUGUUCUUUCUUCUGUCAGUCCAGUCUUUUUCUUUUUUGUCUUUCUUUUCUCUUCUUUUUCAUGUUUAUAUAUAUUCAAUUUAUUGAUUAUGUUUUUCUUAUCUCUUAUCAGGGAUAUUUUUAAUUUGUGGAUGAUUUGGUGGUACUUUUAAGUAUUUAAAUUGAAGUUUUUGAUUAUUGAUAAAAUAUUAUUUCUUUACAAGGUUUAUAUUAUAUUUUUAAGAAUUGCGCUUCACUUUAAUAAAGCGUGCGCUUCGCUUUGCGCUUUGCGUUUGAAGCGAGACAAACCCCUGUCGUUAUUUUGCGCUUAGCAGCGCUCUCAAAAACAUUGGUGUGUACUGAGAUUUGUAGGGAAAGAGAUCAAAGUUUGCAUGAAAAUCACGUGUUGAUUCUUAGAAUCUAAUUAUAUAAUUUAUGGUGCUCAGCAACAGUCAAUGUGGUAUUUAGUGAAUUAGAUCAAGUGACAACUGAUAUUAUUUCAAUUUAAUAAUUGAAUUUGAAAAAUGUGAGGAAAAAAAUAAAAGGUAUAUUAUACUAGUUAUACUAAAAAAGGUGAACAAAUAUUUACAAUAACAAUUAUUUUUUCCUAUUGUACAAAAAAAGAAUAAUAAAAAAUGGUAAAAAUAGUAAAUAAAAUUAGAUUAUGAAGAGAAAAAGAAUAUAAAAAAAGAGUUAAAUGAAAUUAGAAAAGGAAAAAAGAAACAAUAAGAAGAAAACGAGAAAAAAGAAAAAGAGAAAAGAAAGAAGAAAAGGAAAAUAGAAAAAGAAAAGAAUUGGCAAAAAAAAAUUCCCCACAAAAACUGCUAUAGGUAGGAAAUGUAAUUAGUUUGAUGGGUAAAAAAAUAAAUGGGUAGACAAGGGUAAAUAGUUUUGUUCCAACUUUGUCAUUCUCCGUUUAAUUAAUUAAUAUAUAUUCUUGCCAAAAUCUACUGCUUUGACCCGAAUAAAUUGACAUGUUUUUUUGCAUAUAAGUAGACCCAAUAUGCAUUUGCUGAAUUUCCAGUAUGACAAACAAGACAACUUAAAUUGGUGGGAAUUUUCCCCCAUAAUCCUGAUUUCAAAGUUCGACUCCCUGUUACCAAUAUCAACUCAACUACCCAUUCCACCCCCAAAGGAAAAUGAAGAGACAAAACAAGAAAACCAAUUUACAUUCCAUUAAUUCUUCAUAUUUCAAAUAACAAAAAGCUCCCUAGUAAAAGAAAUCUUCUUCUCGCAUAUAACUAACUAGUUGAGACAACAUAUGAUAUAAGGAAAAGAAAAGUAAAAAUAAAUCUCAAUAUUCGAUCAUCUGACUGCACUUUAGAAAAGAAUGAACAGAGCAACCCAUACACUUCAAGUAGACAAAGGAAACACCCUGUAGGUGCAGUCUAUCUAGUAAGGCCACCAGUCUGGCUUCGUCACCAUGAUCUGAUUAUACUCCGGCCUUGAAGUCUGGGAAAAGAAGAAAGAACACAAAUUCUAAACACAAAGAGUUACUCACCUGGGAAAAUGCAUAUCAAUCUUGCAUAAGCAAAGAAAUAUUUGUAACUAAUGAGUACAUAUUCUUUCAUGAUUUUGAAUCUCAGUUACAGGACCAAUGGGAUUUCAAUGAGAUUAUCAACAGAAAAGCUGUGUCUAAUUGACAUUGAAACUCUUCCAUACUUUUAAAUCACAAUGCUCUCCUUUUUGUUCCCUUCUUUUUGACAAGUAUCUCAGUACUUGCUUCCUUUUAUGUCCCCUAAACAAAAAGAGCCAGGAUGCCGCAUAAACUAAUAUUCAAGACCAUCAGCAGCCUAACUUCAUGUAGCAAGAAACAAGCACAUAAUUCUGAAAUCAUUGCAACACUGACCAUCAGAUUGUUGUGUCUCAAAGACACAGUUUGAGUACUCUGCUUUUCUUGUUCUAGAGGGUGGAUGAAGUCGCAAGUUAGAGUUUCGGGAAAGCCGGUCAAAAUGGAAAACAGAAAAAGUGGAAUAUCAUAAAUUCCCACUUUCCUAAUAAUAAUGUUCUCUAAUGACAAUCUUUUUUAUUUCAUUUGGGAUACACUGACAAGACAAGAGGGGUUGCUCUGAUGGUAAGCAACCCCCACUUCCAACCGAGAGGUUGUGAGUUCGAGUCUCCCCAACAUAAUUCUAAAAGGUCUUCUGACAUCUUUGUUUCUAAAGAUGAUAUGUUUGAGUAGAGUUGUUCUCGUGUUCGUCCAUGUCAAACACAAAACUCAUGUUAAUUCCAACCGAUGUGGGAAUCAAAAAAAUGGUAACAUGAUCAAAGAAGCAGGAAGCUAAACUUGAUCAGAAGGACCUCAUCUCACCACAUACAAUCUUGAGUGCAUGUUUUCUGCUAACAUGGGCAUAUAUAAGAGCAGACAAACUGCAGUGGUACUAUAUUGUAUUUUUUUCCACUUAGACAUUUUUAGUUUCUCCCUCUAUUUCCCUCUCGGGCUGUCACUUUGGCAGUCUCUGUUGAGAAGACAGACUGCAAACCCUUCAGCAAACCCCACCCCCUGGCCCCUGUCCCACAAAAAAAGACUUCCUUCUCAAAUUUCGCUCUUCUUGAAUAAUGUAAAGUAAACGACCACAUAGAAAACUUAAUAAUGGCUACAACCGUUUCCCAUUCGUUUUGCAGCUCCUACUCGAUGUUUACGGAUAUGAACAAUCGGUUUAAUCUGAUAGAGGAAAUAAAUAGUGUCUGGAAGUGACUAUAAGUUGAACUGGCAAGAAAACUAAUUUAGCUCCAUUGGUUAAUUAAAGCCAUUUAUUAUGAGAUAGCUGCAGUUGAAGGGGUAAUCCGCCUGAAGUAAGAUAAGGUAAAGCUAUAUCAACAAAAACUUGAACAACUUUGCACAACUAUAAGUCAUGUUUUCCAUUCCUGAUGUUGUGUUUCUCAAUGUUGAGCCCUCAUAUUAUGUUAUCCACGUUCCAGUUGUCCGGUCGUGGGUGUGAGUGUUUCUUUUGUGGAGGUGGGGGUUGGUGUGGGGGUNNNNNNNNNNNNNNNNNNNNNNNNNNNNNNNNNNNNNNNNNNNNNNNNNNNNNNNNNNNNNNNNNNNNNNNNNNNNNNNNNNNNNNNNNNNNNNNNNNNNNNNNNNNNNGGGGGGAGGGAGGGUGUUAAAGUCUCACAUUGGUUAAGGGAAUGGGUUGUGGUCUCCUUAUAUAAUUUUGGACAAUCUUCCUCUCAUAAGUUAGCUUUUGGGGUUGAGUUAGGCCCAAUGGCCAUAAUUUUAUAGGAAUCAUGGAUUCAUUCAACUUGCUUUCGUGAACUCUGUAAUGCUUCUUAAUCUGCUUCACCUAUCUUCUUAUGCCCUUAUUCAAAGCAUUUUCGCAACUACAUGCCUAGGAUUAUCCAAUCUAGGGAAAUUACAGUCUUGGGAUCUAGAAAGUUAAACGGGUGCCGGCAAAUCUUUAAGGGCGAAAACUUUACUACCUUGGAUCCAGAAGCUCACAAUUGCUCCUGCUAUCUAUUUUGUUCUGUCUAGAAAACAUUACAAGAAACAGUUCCCCCACUGAUGCUUUGAAUGCUAAAAUUGCUCGAACCGCAAAGAAGAAAAGUUGCAAAUUGUCAUGGCAUUUUUAACAAGAGGAAGCACUGACAUAGCUUGGGUUUUUCCGUCCUACUAUUUUAACCCCCUUUUAUUAUUUAUGAAUGACGAUGACAUCCAUGCCAGCUUAGGCACAUGAGUAAUCAAGCAGGCAGUGCUGCAUCAUAGGUGGCAGGUAGAUCUAACCAUCAAAGUUGGAGCCGAGUGCUCAUACUGAGUUGUAGCUGGGAUUUGAAACCAUUCAUCAUGCUAUUUUGCUACAAUAUAUAGGGAAAAAAUCUAAAUUUACAGCUCUACUAUAGGAAAAUCUUAUAUGUUAUACUUUUGGGUCAUUCAUACUCUUACCUUGGCAAAUCGAUAAGGUAUUUGCCAUUAACCUCAAUGGAGAACCACUCAUCACGCUAUUUUACUACUAGCGGGAGGCCAUUUCCUUCUUUUUGAUUGUUUCACCAGCUAUACCACUUUUGUUUUCUCUACCCAUGCCAUAUGUACCAAUUAUUAGCUGAGCGUCUACACAAAAUGACGUAUUUACCUUUACAAGGUAGGGAUAUGCGCCUGACCCCACUUGUGAGAAUAUAUUGGGUAUGUUGUUGUUCUCGCCAUAUGUACCAAUUGUACCAAUUGACAGAAUUACCACAAAUCACGACAAUCAUAAUUACAUAAAUAGGCUUAUCAAUAGAAAUAAAAAUAAAAGCACAAAAAAAGUGUUAAUAAAUGGAGAGGAGGCUAACCAGAUCCUUGAAAAUGACAAAAGCUACAACGAAGAAGAGGACGAAGAGAAUCUCGAACUCAGCUAAACGGACGAAAUCGAAUACAGAGUCUAUAGCUUGAGUCAAGAUCGACGGCGACGGUAAAUCGUCCCUUCUUCCACUUCUCCCUACCCUCUUUCCCAUUCUCUCUUUCCUUAAUUUUCCACAGAGAGGAAAUGGAUGAAUGCAAAAGCGCAGCCUUUCAAUUUGGUAACGUGACUUUUGAGACAAGUUAAAUCACUAUUCUCCGUGUAUUUAAUGAGAAUGUUUAGGGCUAAUUUGUAAUUUCUCAUUUACACUCCGAGCUGAAUAUAUAUAUAUCACUAAUCGUUUGUUGUCACACAUUUCUAUAACAACACAGAUAACAGUCAUUAGCUAUAAAAAUUAUUUUUUUAAACUAAUUUUUUAAAUUAUAUUUACCUCUCUAUAAUAACUUUUUACCUAUAACAAUAACAAUCAUAUUUAUAGUAAAAUAUUCUUUGUAAAUUAUUCCUCUAUAAUAGCUAUAUAAAAUCUUUGAGAUUACUAAUAACAAUUCUAAAAAUAUACACACAAUCUUUUUCAUUUAACAAAGUUUUUAUCUCGCAUAAGAUAUAAGAUUUGAAAAUCUGCACAAGAUAUGUUUUUAUUGAAUAUCUUUUUGCUGAAAUUUUGACGCGAAUCUUUGUCAAUUCAAGCAUUAUAUCGGUAGUAAGAGAAUGAAAUAUAUCAAAAAAUCUACAAUUUCAAAGUUCUUCCGUCAAUUUCGAAAGAAUUUAUUUUCCUAGUAGCUUUAAAAUGUAUGCCUUAGAGUUUAAUUCUUUGUACGUUUAGUUAAUAUAACAACAACGAAUUCGCAGUAUUCCCAUAAAUGGGGUAUAGGGAAUAUGUUUAGUUAAUGAACUCAUUAAUGAUGCGUUAGCUUUCUUCAGUAUAUACCUAGUGAAAUAUGCAUAUCUUAAGAGAUUUUAAAUUUAAAGAAUUUUUUUAUUUUAUAUGAGACAAGAGGGGUUGCUCUGAUGGUAAGCAACCCCCACUUCCAACCGAGAGGUUGUGNNNNNNNNNNNNNNNNNNNNNNNNNNNNNNNNNNNNNNNNNNNNNNNNNNNNNNNNNNNNNNNNNNNNNNNNNNNNNNNNNNNNNNNNNNNNNNNNNNNNNNNNNNNNNNNNNNNNNNNNNNNNNNNNNNNNNNNNNNNNNNNNNNNNNNNNNNNNNNNNNNNNNNNNNNNNNNNNNNNNNNNNNNNNNNNNNNNNNNNNNNNNNNNNNNNNNNNNNNNNNNNNNNNNNNNNNNNNNNNNNNNNNNNNNNNNNNNNNNNNNNNNNNNNNNNNNNNNNNNNNNNNNNNNNNNNNNNNNNNCCCUAAGAGCAAGGUGGGAAGUUCUUGGAGGGAAGGAUGCCGGGGGUCUAUUUGGAAACAGCCUCUUUACCCAAAGGUAGGGGUAAGGUCUGCGUAUAUACGACUCUCCCCAGACCCCACUAAGUGGGAUUAUACUGGGUUGUUGUUGUUGUUUCUUAUCUUUUAUAUGUAACAUUAAAAAAACAGAAAAGGGUUUAAAAUUCCAUUAAAUUAUUGAAAAAAGUUUAAGAAUAUCCUUCAUCUACCUAUUGGGCUAAAAAUUCAUAUCCAUUCACCUUUUUGGUUCACUUAUGCCCACCGUUAGGUCAAUGCUGAAUUAAAAAUAAUAAUUAUUGAAAUUUCAGGUAGCAACUUCUUAUUGGCUAAAAUUAAAACAUCUAACUCAUUAGAAAGACCCACCCGUAUCUACCAGUUUUUCAUACUCACCAGCUUCAAAUACUAAUCCAACCUGAACAGAAGGUUCAACUAAAAAAAAGAGCCCCACUUCUAUGAAACACCAUGGAUCAAAAGCUUCAUGGAAGUUGCGCGAACAUAUAGACACAAAUUUAUUACGUGAAUUUCUUUUUCUUGUUAUGACAUCCAGUUCAAUUUAUAUGAUGACACAAAUUGCAUUAUAUUCAAGAUGAGUUUAAUUUAAUCAUUUUCACAUAACGGAAAGAUUUUAAAGUGAUUGUUUGGAACAUAUCAUAAACCAUUGGACUACCGCUAGUUUUCCAUCCCACAUUAUUGUCAAGAAAAUCAUUGGCUCAUUCAUGCUGGUGUUUUCUUAUUUGUUUAAUUUGGUCAUGAACCUUUAUUCGAUACAAUAAUAUACAUGAGGUUAAUCAAGAAAAUGAACACAUGUAAAUCCAUGGGUUAGAAGGAAGUGAGGCUUUUUUUUUUAUUUGAACUUUUUAUUCGGGUCAUAUUCGGCGCGGGUUAGUCCAAAAACAGGUAGAUAUGAGUGUGUCUUUCUAAUAUGUUAGAUGUUUUAAUUUCGGCCAAUAAGAAAUUGUCAUGUGGAAUUUAAAUAACUAUUUUUUAAAUUAAGCAUUGACCUAACGGUCAAAUGGCAUAAGUGAACUAAAAAGGUGGAUAGAGAGGUAUUUUUAGACCAAUAGGUGGAUGAAAGGUAUUUCUAAACCUUUAUCAAUAGUUCAAAGCCAUUUUUGACCCUUCUCCAUUUAAAAAAAGAAAAGAAAAAUGAUUGAUUUUUGGAUAAGUUUGAUCUAUAACAACCAAAAAAUAUUUAAACGUCAAAUACUGUUAUAGGUUUAUAACAACCAUUCAUUAUAAAAGUCAAAAAAUUUUGGAACAAACUACGCUAUUAUAGAGAGGUUUGAUUGUAUAUAUGUUAUGAAUUUGUUUACUGUUUUGUCCAUUAGGCACCGCUUGAUAUGCACACUAAAUUAUAUUAGGAUUAUAACUUUGAGAUUGUAAUCCCUGAACUAAUGUGAUAAAAUAAUUUCAAGUUUAAUGGGAUAGGAUGAGACAUCUAAGAUUAAAUUUUGGAUUAAAUUUUAUAUUAUAUGUGACCGAUGAUAUAAAUUUAUCCUGGAAUAAAUUAAUACCGUCAAUUAAGUACAGUAUAAAUUUAGAAUUACACACCUUAUUUUACCUUAUGGAGUUACUUUGUCAAAUCAAUAUUCAAUUUAAUAAAGAAAAAUGAUUAAUAUACAAAAAUCCUCUGAAUUGUUCACCUCUUGUAACUUAUUAAAUACAUUAUGAUUUAUUGUUAUUAAUUAUUAUCUCUUUGAACUAUAAUGUUCCAUAUUUAAAAUUCCAAACGAUGGUUUGACUCUCCCUAAGGUGGUGGAAACUUUGAAAGGAUUUUAAAGUUCAGCAAAUUUUAACAAAUUUUAAACAAAACAUGUUGUUUCUUCAGAUCUGUUUAGCUUUGCCAAAGCUUCAUUUUGGAGCCGAAGGUCUGAAAAUUGAAAGCCAAAAUUCAAAUUCAGACCUAAAGCUUGAAUCUAAACUGCCAGAAUCCAACUUCAGUCUUAUAGGUUUCAAUUUGAAAACUUCAGAUAUACAUAAAUUUUUUGGCAUUCAAGGAAUUUUUGCCUCCUGUAGCAAAUGUUAAUAUUUUAUUUAUUUUAAAUAAAUAUCCUUUUAAAAAAUUAUAUUAUAUAGAUACCUUUUGAUUUUUAUAGCCAUUAUUUAUUUAUGGUUACCUUCUGUUCUUAAGCAAUAAAAUACUCUUUGUAUUAUUUUUUUGUCUCAUUCUUCUAGAUUUUUCUCCACCAUCUCUCUCAACACGCUGGUAUCUCUCCCUCAACCGCAACGGAAAUUCAUAUCAAAACUGAAGACGAUUCAUGUACUUUAAAUGAAUGAAAACCAAAGAAUUGCCCUCCUCUGUUUUCAUGAUUGUUUGCAAGUCAGCAUCUUCUUCUUUGAGUUCUACUUUGGCAUAAAUAAUCGGGAUCCUUUAAGGAUCGUGAUUCAAACAACUAGAACUGAAAAUAAAUAAAGAAAAAGAUAGCAGGGAUAUGUGGAAUUUGAGGAAAUUGAUGAAGCAACACAAAUUCAGAAGACCCGUUCUAGCCGCUUUGCUGCAUAUUGCUUGAAUAGAUCCAUUAGGGCUUUAUGGUUUUUCAUGUAAUUCAAUGAAUUUUAUGUACUUCGUCG
rnacentral:lncRNA from 1 species